CUUCGCUCUAAAACCAUUCCUUUCACAAUUGAUUUCUCAGCCGAAAUCACUAUCCAAAGUUUACAACUAAAACUCGUCACAAGUAACAUUACAACGAUGGACUAAUCAAUGACAAUCCAAACGCUGCCUUGACUACGAGCCCAGCCUUUCCAGCGCCUCUCUAGCCGAAGCCAAUUCAGGCCGCAACUUCAGAGCCUCCUCAUAAGCACUUUUAGCUUCUUCUUCCAUCUUCUUCGCCUCAUAGCACUCGCCUAAUAAACGGAACGCAUUCGAGUUCUCCUGAUUCAGAUUCACCGCUUGAGUCAGAUCCUCAAUCGCCAAGUCAACUCGCUCGCGUUUAUUCAUCCCCAUCACUAACUCAGCUCUCUUAAACAGUGCAUCCCCUUUCUCUUUCUCGCUAAGCGACUUCACGGCCAAAGGAGAGAGAGCCACGUCCAGCGAGUCCAGAGCGGAGGUCUUGAAUCCUUGAAGAUCGAGAGCUAAUGCUUUGAGGAUGUGAGACGCGGCGUCCUUGGGAUCGAGUGUGAUGGAUUUGGUGGCUUCCUCUUCGGCUUUUUU
rnacentral:misc_RNA from 1 species